rnacentral:rRNA from 1 species
UACGGGGGGGAGCAAGCGUUGUUCGGAAUUACUGGGCGUAAAGGGCUCGUAGGCGGCCAACUAAGUCGGAUGUGAAAUCCCCAGGCUUAACCUGGGAACUGCAUCCGAUACUGGAUGGCUUGAAUCCGGGAGAGGGAUGCAGAAUUCCAGGUGUAGCGGUGAAAUGCGCAGAUAUCAGGAGGAACACCGGUGGCGAAGGCGGGUCUCUGGGCCGAUACUGACGCUGAGGAGCGAAAGCGUGGGGAGCAAACAGG